rnacentral:rRNA from 1 species
UACGAAGGGGGCGAGCGUUGUUCGGAAUUACUGGGCGUAAAGGGCGCGUAGGCGGCCGAUCAAGUCAGAUGUGAAAGUCCUGGGCUUAACCUGGGGACUGCAUUUGAUACUGAUUGGCUUGAAUUCGGGAGAGGAUAGCGGAAUUCCCAGUGUAGAGGUGAAAUUCGUAGAUAUUGGGAAGAACACCGGUGGCGAAGGCGGCUAUCUGGACCGACAUUGACGCUGAGGCGCGAAAGUGUGGGGAGCAAACAGG